GAACGAACGCUGGCGGCAUGCCUAACACAUGCAAGUCGAACGAGACCUUCGGGUCUAGUGGCGCACGGGUGCGUAACGCGUGGGAACCUGCCCUUAGGUUCGGAAUAACUCCCCGAAAGGGGUGCUAAUACCGGAUAAUGUCUUCGGACCAAAGAUUUAUCGCCUUUGGAUGGGCCCGCGUUGGAUUAGCUAGUUGGUAGGGUAAAAGCCUACCAAGGCGACGAUCCAUAGCUGGUCUGAGAGGAUGAUCAGCCACACUGGGACUGAGACACGGCCCAGACUCCUACGGGAGGCAGCAGUGGGGAAUAUUGGACAAUGGGCGAAAGCCUGAUCCAGCAAUGCCGCGUGAGUGAUGAAGGCCUUAGGGUUGUAAAGCUCUUUUACCUGGGAUGAUAAUGACAGUACCGGGAGAAUAAGCUCCGGCUAACUCCGUG
rnacentral:rRNA from 1 species